GAUGAACGCUGGCGGCGUGCUUAACACAUGCAAGUCGAACGGAAAGGCCCUGCUUUUGUGGGGUGCUCGUGUGGCGAACGGGUGAGUAACACGUGAGUAACCUGCCCUUGACUUUGUGAUAACUUCAGGAAACUGGGGCGAUUACCGGAUAGGAUCUCCUGCUGCACGGUGUUGGUUGGUAAGUUUCGGCGGUUGGGGAUAGACUCGCAGCUUAUCAGCUUGUUGGUGUGGUAGUGGCUUACCAAGGCUUUGACGGGUAGCCGGCCUGGGAGGUUGACCGGCGACAUUGGGACUGAGAUACGGCGCAGAAUCCAACGGGAGGCAGCAGUGGGGAGUAUUGCACAAUGGGCGGAAGCCUGAUAUAACAGCGCCGCGUGCGGGAUGACGUCCUACGGGUGAUAAACCGCUUUCGCCGGUACCGAAGCGUGCGUGACGGUAACGGGUAAAGAAGCACCGGCUAACUACGUG
rnacentral:rRNA from 1 species